GACGAACGCUGGCGGCGUGCUUAACACAUGCAAGUCGAGCGGAAAGGCCCUUCGGGGUACUCGAGCGGCGAACGGGUGCGUAACACGUGAGUAAUCUGCCCUUGGCUUUGGGAUAACUACCGGAAACGGUGGCUAAUACCGGAUACGACAACCGUCUGCAUGGGCUGGUUGUGGAAAGUUUUUUCGGCCAGGGAUGUGCUCGCCGCCUAUCAGCUUGGUGGUGUGGUAAUGGCCUACCAAGGCUUCGACGGGUAGGCGGCCUGGGCGGGUGACCGGCCACACUGGGACUGAGACACGGCCCAGACGCCUACGGGAGGCAGCAGUGGGGAAUAUUGGACAAUGGGCGGAAGCCUGAUCCAGCAACGCCGCGUGAGGGAUGACGGCCAUCGGGUUGUAAACGUCGUUCAGUACCGACGAAGCGCCGAUGAUGGUGGUGACGGUAGGUACAGAAGAAGCACCGGCCAACUACGUG
rnacentral:rRNA from 1 species